rnacentral:rRNA from 1 species
AACGAACGCUGGCGGCAUGCCUAACGCAUGCAAGUCGAACGAGACCUUCGGGUCUAGUGGCGCACGGGUGCGUAACGCGUGGGAACCUCCCCUUAGGUUCGGAAUAACUCCCCGAAAGGGGUGCUAAUACCGGAUAAUGUCUUCGGACCAAAGAUUUAUCGCCUUUGGAUGGGCCCGCGUUGGAUUAGCUAGUUGGUAGGGUAAAAGCCUACCAAGGCGACGAUCCAUAGCUGGUCUGAGAGGAUGAUCAGCCACACUGGGACUGAGACACGGCCCAGACUCCUACGGGAGGCAGCAGUGGGGAAUAUUGGACAAUGGGCGAAAGCCUGAUCCAGCAAUGCCGCGUGAGUGAUGAAGGCCUUAGGGUUGUAAAGCUCUUUUACCCGGGAUGAUAAUGACAGUACCGGGAGAAUAAGCUCCGGCUAACUCCGUG